GACGAACGCUGGCGGCGCGCUUAACACAUGCAAGUCGAACGGAAAGGCCUGCUUUCCCUUGUGGAUUGCGGGUACUCGAGUGGCGAACGGGUGAGUAACACGCGAGUGAUCUGCCCCCAACUUGGGUAUAAGCCUGGGAAACUGGGUCUAAUUCCCGAUAGGACUGCAGGGUGCUGCCUGUGGUGGCAAACGUUUUUCUAUUUGUUGGGGAUGAGCUCGCGGCCUAUCAGCUUGUUGGUGGGGUACUGUCCUACCAAGUCGGGGACGGGUAGCCGUCCUGAGAGGGUGGACGGGCACAUUGGGACUGAGAUACGGCCCAGACUCCUACGGGAGGCAGCAGUGGGGAAGAUUGCACAAUGGGCGGAAGCCUGAUGCAGCGACGCGGCGUGGGGGAUGGCGGCCUUCGGGGUGUAAACUCCUUUCGAGCGCGAGGAAGUCACCUGGUUGGAAGGGUGGUGACGGUAGUGGUAGAAGAAGCACCGGCUAACUACGUG
rnacentral:rRNA from 1 species